rnacentral:rRNA from 1 species
GUGGGGAAUAUUGGACAAUGGGCGAAAGCCUGAUCCAGCCAUUCCGCGUGCAGGAUGAAGGCCUUCGGGUUGUAAACUGCUUUUGUACGGAACGAAAAGCCUCUGGUUAAUACCCGGGGGUCAUGACGGUACCGUAAGAAUAAGCACCGGCUAACUACGUGCCAGCAGCCGCGGUAAUACGUAGGGUGCGAGCGUUAAUCGGAAUUACUGGGCGUAAAGCGUGCGCAGGCGGUGAUGUAAGGCAGUUGUGAAUUCCCCGGGCUCAACCUUGGAACUGCAUCUGUGACUGCAUUGCUGGAGUGCGGCAGAGGGGGAUGGAAUUCCGCGUGUAGCAGUGAAAUGCGUAGAUAUGCGGAGGAACACCGAUGGCGAAGGCAAUCCCCUGGGCCUGCACUGACGCUCAUGCACGAAAGCGUGGGGAGCAAACAGGAUUAGAUACCCCAGUAGUCC